rfam:Gossypium raimondii Chr04_contig_1412, whole genome shotgun sequence.
UAUUAAAACUUUAAUCAAUUUAUACUAUUAAAAAUUGGCGUGACGUGGGGUGCCACGUAUAUCUCAUGCUGAUAUAUGGGAUCGACAUUUUUAACAAUAAAAAUAAAUGAAAUUUUUAACA